rnacentral:ncRNA from 1 species
UGUAAUAUAAAUGAGAUUUUUAAAAAUAAUUUAUUUAAAUAAUAAUAUUUGUUUAAAUAAUAUUUAUAUUAAUUAUAUUUAUGAGAAUAAAAAAUAGUAAUUUAUAAUAGUGAUAAUAAAUUUAGUGCCAGCAAUUGCGGUUAUACUACAGUUAUAAAUAAAUUUAAAGUAAUUUAGAAUUAAGUAUAUUGGAGAUUUUUUAUGAUUAAGUUUAAUUUUGUAUGGUGAAAUAUUAAGGUUAGGUGAUAUUAUAAGAAUGUGUGAUAAAUAAAUUAAAUUUAAGAAAUUAAGUAGAUAAAUUAGGAUUAGAUACCCUAUUAUAUUAAUUAAAUUAAAUAAAUUAGAGAUUAAAAAUAAUAUAUAAGAAAUUUAAAUAAUUUGGCGGUAUUUUAAAUAGUUAGAGGAAUUUGUUAAAUAAUCGAUAAUCCACGAUAGGGAGAGCCUAAUAAAAUAAUUUUAUAUAUUGUUGUUUAAAAAUUAUUUUAAUAGAAUUUAUAUAAUUAAUAAAUUUAAGUAAAAUUUAAAUUCAAAUCAAAAUGUAGAGUUAUUAGGGAUAUAAUGAAUUACAUUUUAUUUAUAAUAAAAUGAUAUUAUAAUUUUAAGAUUAUGAUAGAAGAGGAUUUAAUAGUAAAUUUAUUAAAUUUAAUGAAUUGAAAUUUAAAUAAAAUAUGUACAAAUUGCCCGUCAUUUUCAUUAGUUAAUGUAAGUGAAAAAAGUCGUAACAAAGUAAGUGUAUAGGAAUAUGUAUUUAGAUUAAAGUAAAUUAAGGAUAAAUUAUGUUUG